GCCAUCCAUCGCCAGAUGAAGGAUCUAUGAAUGCAGUUCUAAUUUGUCAAUCACUCUCUGUAGACAGAGUUUUAACCUAGGAAUCAUCAAAUGUUUUGCAGAUCUAUACUUAGUUUGUAUUUAUUA